UGGCUGGGGAUGCGGCUCAUUGGUUAAGUGCCCCUGGGUUUAAUCCCAUUACCAAAAAAUAAUACUAAUAAUUUUUGCUUCAUAAUCAACUGGUUUUUGUAUGAAUAAAUUACAAUUCAUAAAAAAAUUUAAAGCCAUAAGUAGUACUUAUGCUGAGGCCUCUCGUUUAUAUUCAUUUAGUUGGUGUUCCAGGUAGUUGGUGCACCACCACACCUGGCUUAGCCUGAGGUUUUUGUUGUUUGUUUGCCAUGCUGGACACUGAACCCAGAGCACUCUGCCAUUGAGUUGCAUCCCCAGUCAUUUUUUUUUAAGGCAGGUUAAGUAAAUUGCUCCAGCUAGCGAUAAAUUUUUAAUCCCUCUACUUCAGCCCCCAAGUAGCUUGGAUUAUGGGCAUGUACCAUUGCACCCAGUUAAUUUUUACAUUUUUUAAAAAUAUUGUUUUUAGUUAUAUAUGGACACAUUAUUUUUUAAGAUAAAAUAAUUUACCUCACACAUGCUAGGCAAGCACUCUACCACUGAGUCACAACCCCAGCCGUAAAUUUUUUUUAUUAAGAUAAAUCCUUGCUAAAUGGCUCAAGCUGACCUUGAAUUUAUGAUCCCCUUGACUCAGCCUCCCAUGUAGAUGGGAUUACAGGCAUGCACCAUUGCACUCAGCUUGGUCUGAGUCUUUAUCUUUAUAAGCACAGAUCUUUUUAUGGUCUAUCCCUUGGAUUAACUUCGGUCUUCAACAUUUUCUAUGGUGGUAGUCACAAGGGCAAAAAGGUUACAACCAUUUAA
rnacentral:lncRNA from 1 species